rnacentral:ncRNA from 3 species
CCGAAAGAUGGUGAACUAU